AUUGAACGCUGGCGGCAUGCUUUACACAUGCAAGUCGAACGGUAACAGGCCGCAAGGUGCUGACGAGUGGCGAACGGGUGAGUAAUGCAUCGGAACGUGCCCAGUCGUGGGGGAUAACUACUCGAAAGAGUAGCUAAUACCGCAUACGAUCUAUGGAUGAAAGCGGGGGACCGUAAGGCCUCGCGCGAUUGGAGCGGCCGAUGUCAGAUUAGGUAGUUGGUGGGGUAAAGGCUCACCAAGCCAACGAUCUGUAGCUGGUCUGAGAGGACGACCAGCCACACUGGGACUGAGACACGGCCCAGACUCCUACGGGAGGCAGCAGUGGGGAAUUUUGGACAAUGGGCGCAAGCCUGAUCCAGCAAUGCCGCGUGCAGGAAGAAGGCCUUCGGGUUGUAAACUGCUUUUGUACGGAACGAAACGGCUCUGGUUAAUACCCGGGGCUAAUGACGGUACCGUAAGAAUAAGCACCGGCUAACUAUGUG
rnacentral:rRNA from 1 species